GUGCCCAAAAUGACAAAAUGGUCACAACAGAGGAAGAGGCAAGCAAUUGUUUUUCCUUAGAAAAAAUAGUUGGAUCACCCCUUCCGUCGACUCAUAAUCUUUUGGUCCUAGGUUCGAGUCCUAGUGGGCCCACCA
rnacentral:tRNA from 1 species